rnacentral:lncRNA from 12 species
UGUUGCAUGGUUUACUGACCAGGGAGUUGUAAAUUGUGGGGGAUCAGCCUCUAGGAAAUCUGAGGAGAAUGUGACAGUAACACACAUUUAUUGGGUGCUCAUUAUGAACCAGGAAUCACCCUAAACAUCUCACCGAAUACUCAAAGCUCUGACGUAGGUUUUAUAACCCCUGGUUGAGAGAUGGGGAAACAGAGUUUAAGUGGCUUGCCCCAGGGCUGAGCCGCCAGUUGAACCCAGGUCAGACUCUAAAUGCACAGGCUAAACACCUGCACCCUGACUACUGUGCAGGAGCAUGGGGGAGAAGCAGAAAGACCAGUGAGGAGGGGACUACAAUGAUCCAGUGUCUUCUCUGAGGAUCCCCUGGUGGGAAAGCCAACACUCGCUCUCCUCACUGUCCCAGGACUCCCUCCACCCAUGAUUCAUCCCUCAUGACUCAAGCCAUCUCAGAUUCUCCAGGAAGUCUUCCCUCAGCUGUCUGGUCCUCAACGAUAUCAUCUGCUCUUUUGAAAACCUGUAGCACCCAAUGAUUAUAUCACUUGGUUCUCAUCUAAUAUAUAUUUUCUGCUACAACUAAAUCUACAUUUUGUGUUUAUUUUUCCUCUCAAUUUAUAAGGCAGACAUUAUGUUUUAUUCCUACAUCACAGCCUCAAAGCUCUCAUUACUGGUUCUCUUCUUUUCUUUUUAUUGAAGUUUGAUUUGCCAACAUAUAUUAUAUCACCCAGUGCUCAUCCCAUCAAGUGCCCCUUUCAGUGCCUGUCACCCAGUUACCCAUCCCCCCACCCACCUCCCUUUCCACAACC